UACGUAGGGGGCAAGCGUUGUCCGGAUUUAUUGGGCGUAAAGAGCGUGUAGGCGGCCAGACAGGUCAGCUGUGAAAACUCGAGGCUCAACCUCGAGACGUCGGUUGAAACCGUCUGGCUAGAGUCCGGAAGAGGAGAGUGGAAUUCCCGGUGUAGCGGUGAAAUGCGCAGAUAUCAGGAAGAACACCCGUGGCGAAGGCGGCUCUCUGGGACGGUACUGACGCUGAGACGCGAAAAGCGUGGGGGAGCGAACAGG
rnacentral:rRNA from 1 species